AGCAGAGCCUCCACAUGAUUAAUGCGUCCUCAGAGAUGGGGCAGCCGGGGGCCCGGCACGGGGAACGCACUGCCAGCCCCGCACAGGAGACCACAGUGAUCCUGCCUAGAUACCAUACACACCUGGACAGGUGAGUGCCAUUCACUCCAUUCAGGGGCCCUGCACGGGAGACCACGGCGAUCCCCCUUGGAUACGGUGCACACCUGGAACAGGUGAGUGCCAUUCACUCCAUUCGGGGGCCCCGCACGGGAACGCACUGUCACCCCAGCCCGGGAGACCACAGCAAUCCUGCCUAAAUACUAUACACACCUGGACAGGUGAGUGCCAUUCACUCC